rnacentral:misc_RNA from 1 species
AAGUCGUAACAAGGUUUCCGUAGGUGAACCUGCGGAAGGAUCAUUAAUGAGUUCGGGGGCCUAGCCCCCAGCGGUGGGUGUCUGUCCGGGUCCGUCUGGGCUCGGCCAGCACUCGUCGUGUAUCUCAACCCCAUGUUUACCUUACCUUUGUUGCUUUGGCGGGCCUUGAGUAGGCUAUACGGCUCAUGCCGGCCCCCAGCGUUUUCUGUUGGGGGGCGGCUCGCGCCCGCCAGAGGUUUAUUCAAAUCUUGUUUAUUAGUGAAGUCCGAGUAGAUAUUAAAUAAUCAAAACUUUCAACAA